rnacentral:lncRNA from 1 species
UUGGGGUGUUCCUUGCUGUACUGCUUAUUCUUCCUCUAUCACUGCUUUCUCCAUUCCCAGCUGGCUUGAAUGCCUUGUUCAGUAAAGAGCCUCGGAGAGCUUCGCUUGCUCGUAUAUAUUCCCUGUGGAAUGCUACAUCUCUGUCAAAUAUCGUAAGUAGCUUUAAAUUCUGGGUACCUUUUGAGCAAGAUAGUUACUCCACUAUUGACAUUAGCAUGAAUCAGCUAUAAUGCUUUUGGAUUUUCUGUUACUUCUUUGUUCUGUGAAAUGUAGUGAUGCAAUGACUGAAAUGUAGUGUUAUGCCAACCUAAUACUUCAUGCUUAUGGUGUAGUCACCUAAAAUUUCAUCAAGAUAUAUGUUUUCUAUGAAGCACUACACAAUUUAGAGGAAUAAUUUUAGAUAAAGGUAGAUUUGUCUCCUCCGGUAGGCUUUUCUUAAAAUGAUUUGCUGUAGCAAUAUAGCCAAAGGGAUGAAUUUUGCAAUUUGUGUUAUUCAUAAAGCAUUGAAUCUCAUAUUACAUGUGAAUAAGACAUCAAUAAUUGAUUUAGACCUGUAACUAUAUGUGCCAGUGUCAUGUGCCUAGUUUUAUUUUUGCAGGCUGUGGCUUGCAUCUGUGGCAUUAUUCAUUAUGGAGUCUCUUCUUUCCAGCCGCCUGACAAGGAAAAUACUUGGAACUCUAGAAGGUGAGGAUUUUAAUGCUUAUUGGUCUGAUGGAAACUCUUGGAAGCUUCUCUAAAUUUUGGGGUGAUUAAAAAAAUGCAAUUUUUUAGUAGCUUGCAUCUAUGGUGUUGAACAUUAUACCUGAAUAUAGCUCAUGCAGUGUUAGCGGAACGGCAACUGUUAGGGAACUCUUUAUCAGGUCCAUUACCAAGGCUGGAGUAGAAAAUUUGUCAAGUUAGUUUUUGGGGCUGUCACGUUCGCAGAGUACUUGCUUCUUCCUUAAG